CUUGUAAUUGCAUUGUGGGUAUCAUGCACCAAACCCAAUCCAAUGUGUUGCAGAGACCAAUGAGAGAGGGCAACUGGGACAGGGAGCUGUAGGGCCAGUUGCUGCCCCUGCUUAAUCCCCAAGGUGGAAACAGGCAAUGAGAAGAACCUGGGCCUCACACUCUAGGACUGGUAUUCUCCAUGAGCCAAACAAAGAGGGCUAAUUGACAUUCUUGGAAACCAGGAGUGCCAGGACACAUCUGAUGGGAGUGGCCUUCCCAAGCUGUUGGCAAUCUACCUGGUCCAUCCAGCCACUGUAAUGGCCAAAUGUCUGCAAGCUCACAGCACCUGCUGCCACUCUGAUCAAGCCUCCUACAGAAGUGUCUUGCCCUCAUGGGGCCCAAGCUUUGCUUCAAACUCCCACCGAUCUGAUACGGCCUCACCUGGAUCAUUUCCAGGGACCUACCAGCUGUACAGCCUCUUUGACUCCAUGGAUUGAGAGGGCCUCCUGCGUCAGGAGGUGGAGAAUCCGGUUGCUGUGUGCAGCCUCCUUCCCUCCUUUGAGUAAUAAGCCAUUACCACUUGCAAUAGCCAAGGCUGCCACCUGCAGACCAGAGGGGAGAGCAGGGGAUCAAAGGGAAAAAAAACAAGAGUGACAGUAAUGUUAACAUAUUUUGGAGCACUUCAUUUCGGAGCUAUGCUCUCAUUUUCACAUCUGAGCGAAUUAAAUACCUGUUUUAUGUCACAUUA